GGAUGUGAGGGUGAUCUGUCUGAGACAUCUGUCACCCAAUCGCUAGUUGAUUUGGCUGAUCCCUCUGGCUAGGCGGGUGUCCCCUUCCUCCCUCACCGCUCCAUGUGUAUCCCUCCUGAAGCUGCACCCUCAGACAAAGAGGAUAGCCUUCCCUGAACAGAGCUGGACUGGUCUUCGGUGGAGGGUAUAUGAGUAGCUGUGCUCCCCUGAUAGAACCUCCAAACAUGCUCUCAAGAAAGAGGGAAUAAACCUAAUAAGAAAAGUGAAAGACUUGUAUACUGAAAAUUGUAAGUUAUUAUUC
ensembl:misc_RNA 7SK 7SK RNA